CCGAGCUCACUGAGCCUGGGACCGGUUCAAGAUGUUAUUUAUUUUAUUCAGAAUCAGAAGCACAAACCCGGGCUCCACUAAUCUGGAAUCAUCUCACUGUGUAGGAAGGUCCUAUUGAAGGUCUCACUGAUUUCUUCCAUUGUUUUCUCCAGCCUGGACUGGUGUGGGCUUCAGAACCCCCAGAUUGCUGAGGUUACCAACUUCCUGUGAUGACCAAGCCAACCAGUUAUGGAGUCAAGAAUGACCUUAAGGGAACAGGACUGUCCAGUUAUGUUGUCUGAAUCUGUCCCUUAUGGUGGUCAAAUCCUGCUCUUGUAGGCCCUUGAAGUGGAGAAAGAGAGAGUAUUCCUGCAGACCCCUGGCCCCUCCAUAAGGUGGUUUUUCUUCUGUAACCAGUACAUAUAAGGUUGGGAUGGGAUUAUGGACACUGGGCUCAUGGAAGUCACAACCCCAGAGUCUACCUGACUUGUCUUCCAGGGUGUCUGAACUCUGCUCUGGUCCAGGCUCCCAAGACGGGAUGGAGACAUAAACCAUGUUACUUUCCAGUUCCUCUGACCUAGAGAGCUUUCUCUCAGGUCCUCUAGUGUUUGGCAAAGUUCUAGUGUUGUCUCCUUUAUAUACUGAUUGUUCUUUUAGACCAAUUUUUUUCCUAUGCCCAAGGACAGAAAAAUUCAUUCCCAGUACCUCAGUACCAUCCCUCCCCACUCUGUUUGUAGUAUUGAGGGUGGAGUUUCCCUUUGUUACUGUAUCUCCAUCUCUCUUGCUGUUACCCAGCCAUACUUUCUGUCUUUGAUUGUUCAAUAGCUUUUGAAUCAGCCCUCAGUUCUUCUUCCAGAGGAAUUGACCUAUUAAUAUGUGUAGUUUGGAGUAUUCUGUGGAGAAAGUGAGUUCAGAGUUUUCCUACAUCACCAUCUUGAAAUGGAAUCCUGGAAAGACUAAUCAUCUGUACUUCAAUCACUCUCAUCCUUGUAACUAUCUUUAGCAUUUUUCUUUAAUACUCUGCAUAUAGCUCAUGGUUAGGUCUUUUUGCCUUUUUAUUUAAAAUAUAUCAGAAAAUCAACAAUUUCUUUCCAACUUUACCUCUACCUACAUAGCUAAAUUACUGUCAUAUCCAAACUCGUCUCUUGUAAUUUUAUCUUAAUUGGAUUUCUCUCUUCCAUUUUGAGCCCCUGUAGUCUUUUUCUACAGAAAAGUCAUUAGGAGCCUUCUUUAACAUAUCAGUUCACCAGUUUCUCAGGUCUUAGGGAGUGCAUUUUAUACAACAAUAAUAAUAAUAACAACAAUGACUAAUUGUUAUAUAGCUCUUAUUAUUUUCCAGGCAUUGUUCUAAUUUAUA